UAUUGCACAAUGGGGGAAACCCUGAUGCAGCGACGCCGCGUGAGUGAAGAAGCAUUUCGGUGUGUAAAGCUCUAUCAGCAGGGAAGAAGAAAUGACGGUACCUGACUAAGUAGCCCCGGCUAACUACGUGCCAGCAGCCGCGGUAAUACGUAGGGGGCAAGCGUUAUCCGGAUUUACUGGGUGUAAAGGGAGCGUAGACGGCAAGGCAAGCCUGGAGUGAAGGGCGGGGGCCCAACCCCCGGACUGCUCUGGGAACUGUCUGGCUAGAGUGCAGGAGGGGUAAGUGGAAUUCCUAGUGUAGCGGUGAAAUGCGUAGAUAUUAGGAGGAACGCCAGUGGGGAAGGCGGCUUACUGGACUGUAACUGACGUUGAGGCUCGAAAGCGUGGGGAGCAAACAGG
rnacentral:rRNA from 1 species